UACGUAGGGCGCAAGCGUUGUCCGGAAUUAUUGGGCGUAAAGAGCUCGUAGGCGGCCUGUUGCGUCCGCUGUGAAAUCCCGGGGCUCAACCCCGGGCGUGCAGUGGAUACGGGCUGGCUGGAGGCAGGCAGGGGAGAACGGAAUUCCUGGUGUAGCGGUGAAAUGCGCAGAUAUCAGGAGGAACACCGGUGGUGUAAACGGCUUUCUGGACCAUAACUGACGCUGAGGCACGAAAGCGUGGGUAGCAAACAGG
rnacentral:rRNA from 1 species